GAUGAACGCUAGCGGCAGGCUUAAUACAUGCAAGUCGAACGAAGUGGUAACACUUAGUGGCGCACGGGUGCGUAACACGUAUGCAACCUACCUAUCGUUGGGGGAUAACUUUGAGAAAUCAGGGCUAAUACCGCAUAAAACAGCGUUACUGCAUGGUAAUGCUGUUAAAGUUACGGCGACGAUAGAUGGGCAUGCGUCCGAUUAGGUAGUUGGCGAGGUAACGGCUCACCAAGCCGACGAUCGGUAGGGGAUCUGAGAGGAUAAUCCCCUACACUGGCACUGAGAUACGGGCCAGACUCCUACGGGAGGCAGCAGUAGGGAAUAUUGGGCAAUGGUCGCAAGACUGACCCAGCCAUGCCGCGUGCAGGAAGAAGGCGCUCAGCGUUGUAAACUGCUUUUAUCAAGGAGAAAAAGUUCUUGCGAGAACAAUUGACGGUACUUGAAGAAUAAGCCACGGCUAACUACGUGCCAGCAGCCGCGGUAA
rnacentral:rRNA from 1 species